GUUUGUAUCUGGAACUACCAGUCACAGGUCAUGGAGAAGUCCUUCAAGGUCACUGAGUCACCAGUGAGGUCAGCCAAGUUCAUAGCACGCAAAAACUGGAUUGUCACCGCAUCUGAUGACAAAUAUAUUCGCGUAUACAACUAUGAUACGGUGGAAAAGAUCAAAGAAUAUGAAGCACAC